GAUGCUCACCAAUCAGUUCCGUCACGCCACCCCUGGCCUCGGCAUCGCCCUCGUCGCUUUCGGCAUCUACCUUGUCGGCGAGCAAGUCUACAACAGGAUCAAUUCUCCCUCUUCUUCUCACCACCACCAUGCCGAUGCAUCGUCCGCCACCCAUUAACUGCUACCGGUGCAUUCCUGCUAGCUGAAUCCAAGCUUGGAGUUCUGUAGCACUCAUUCCCUUUUACCUUUUUAUGUGCAAUAAAAAAAGUAAAGCUUUUGCUGGACAAAG
rnacentral:misc_RNA from 1 species